GUUUGAUGUCUUUAUUCGAGGUAGGGGAGAAAGGUCUUUUUCGGUGCCACUGCUCCAUUUGCAUUUGUAGUUUUUGUCCUGCAUCUGGUAUCUUGGGACGUGUAAAUAAAUGGGCAAAAUACAAAAAAGUACUAUGUGGUUUGGGCUAUUUUCAAUUAGGGUCCUGUAGUUUUGAUUUGACAAAAUGGUAUCCUAUGGUUAAGUCCAUUAGUGAAGAAGGUACAAAUAUCCUAACACCAUUAAUGACUACUGACAUGGAAUUAUUUUUCUGCUUGCCUUGUCACCAGCUAUUAAUGGUGUUAGAGUGUUUGGACAUUCUUAGCUAACGGACUUAACCGCAGGACAUUAGCUUGUCAAAACUGAAAGUACAUGAUCCUUUUGAAAAUGGCCCAAACUACAAGCUACUUUUUUUUUUACUUUUCCUAAAUCAAAAUAUAAAUGUACGUUUUAUUUUGCAAGACCUUUUCACAUACACAUAAUUACAUGCUAUGUUAAUGGAGUGAUCUAUUGGUGAUGCAUAAUUGUGUUUUUCAGUUCUGAUACUUGAUUUUGUAUUUGCAUGCGAG
rnacentral:misc_RNA from 1 species